AACCCGUGGUGAGGACAUUCUCUCUGGUAGCCCUUGAAACGUUCCCAUGAAGCCUUGAAUGCUUCAGUUGGACCCUGAAUGAAUGUUGAGAUCUUAGCUCGCAGAU
rfam:Arabis alpina cultivar Pajares scaff_67539_1_contig_13, whole genome shotgun sequence.